rnacentral:lncRNA from 1 species
CAAAGUUUUAAAUCUUGCCUAAUCUGUUGCAUUGACUAGCACCUCCAGACAAUAUUAAAUCAUUGGAGGAGAUGGGUGGACUGUGAGUAUCCCUCCACUCCAGCUCAGUUUAGUUUCUUCACUUUGACGGUAAAACUUCUAGUAUUUGCCCAUUAAACUCAACACUGCCUUUGGCUUGAGAUUUUUCCGUUCAAUGAGGAAAUGCUCGUUAUUUUUAAUUGAGACUUUGUGUAAUGGAUGCUGUGAAUAGUACCAUUUCACUCUAUGAUUUUGCUUCCUGAUGCAUUAAUACGGCUAUUAACAUGCUUCCUAAUACUGAACCAUCUCUGAGUCACAAGCAGGAGCCUCCUUCUUAUGGUCUACUUUUAAAGAGUUGCCACUAGAGCUUUCAUAAAGCUUUAAAAACUGCCACCAGAAUUUUAAAAGGUAUUAGUGGUGGUUUUACACCUAUGCUGAUGCAGUGGGGGUGGGGCCCACACGGACAACUCCAUGCGUGUUCCACAGGCACCUUCUGUCCACCCUUCCUUUCCAAGCUUCUUCAGUCACUCCUCUCACAGACUUUGCUCUUGACAUCUGGAGUGGGGAUAAGCAGAACCCAGGACCCAUAAUUCCUCUGGACUCAUACUCCAUGAUCCCUUCCAGGGUCCCAACUCCAACGCCCACCCAAACUAUGACCUGGGCAGGCAGGGUCGCCACUGAUUUUCUUGUGUUUGCUGAGUGACUGUGUGAAGCAUCUGCAGUGUCCUGAGACUUUCGGCUGUGGCUGGGCUAAGCCUUGUCUCUAAAUUACCACUUUCAAUCCCAAGGAAAGCCCAGUACUGACACCCUGAGAGGGUAAUAGGCAGGAAGGCUAGGGGUCCCCAGAUGGAGGAAAUAGGUUGCAAGUGUCAGACAUUUUUUUUUUCUCUCUCUUAAGUGGCAGGAGGAAACAAACUACAAGUGUCAGACAUUUUCCCCUUCUCUAUGCAAAAUUAAAAGGUUUCUUUAAAAAUUUUGUGUUGCCAUGAUGACACCUGGUUCCACCUGAAAUUAACUUUUCUCAAACCUUGAGCUAACCAAUGCGUUUUUCUUAUGGAAAUGUUUUUCUUAAGCUAUGUUAAUGAACUAUGUACUUACCUUAGACUCUGUCUUUCAUCAAGUAGGUUCUGCCUAAGACUCAGAAAACCAGCAUGUUUUACUCACGGAAAUGUUCUCUUAAGCUAUGUUAAUGCAACUGUGUAUUUGCUUGGAAAUCUGCCUUUCUUCAAGAUUCAAGUCAAUUUUUUUUAAGGAAUUUAUUUGGUCGCAAGAGGUCUUCGUUGAGGCGUGUGGAAUCUAGUUCCCUGACCACGGACUGAACCUGGGCCCCCUGCAUUGGAAGCAUAGACUCUUAACCACUGGGCCACCAGGGAAGUCCCCAUGUCAACUGUUGUAUGGCCUGGGAUGACUCACCUUGUGCCAGUGUUAUCGCAAAAUGCAUGUUGUGGGUGAGGGGCCGGGUGCCACUCUGAGUUUUCAGACAUUUCCUUUUCUCUAAUUAGCAGCUUACUAAUAGGUAUAUAACUUCUUGCUGAAAACUAGCAAGUUAAUAAAACUUUAUUACACAAAAUUUCUGAGCGGUCAAGCCUUGUCACUGGCUCUGGAUCAAAUUCAUCUCCUCCAGAGGCCAAGAAUCCCGGCGUCGUUCAUAGCUCAAAAGAGACAACUUUUCAACCCUUCCUACAGGCUGACCUCCAGGCAUGGGCCCACUCCUCCUCAACCCUCCAGACCUUACCUUGACUCCAUAGGAAUGUGUUUGGCUCUGACUCCAUCAGAUUGGGAGUUCUUGGGGCCCCUAUGGGCCCUGCCUUGUCCAGUGUGAAGUAGGUACCUG